GUUCUCCCACCGUGCCUUUCAGCAACAGGAGCCAAUGGACAAAACAGCCAGGACAUUGAAAAAGCUGGCAUACGGGCUCCCAAAUCUGAGGAUCUCUUCUUACUGCACAGCGCUGGGAGAAUUUAAGAACACCGAUGAUCAGCCAUGAUAGAGCUGUGAGGCAGCAGAUGGAGACACAAUAGGCCAAGCAGUUGCUAGGAGACGAGGGGCCUCUCUCAGCACCUGGUCCUCCCUUCCUCCCCCGCUUCAACCAAAGAUAUCAGUGAAUUUGUGAUGUGAGGCCCCAGACUGCGCUCACAUACGUAGAGUUAACUCCAGCUUCACCCUCAUCCCUCCUGCAACUGAAGGGCAAAGCCAAGACAGUUUACUAACCUGGAGAGACGGCCUCCUUUUCACCGUCAACAGGAAGAGUGGAAGUCAUCGUCUUAUCAGCUUCUUCCUGGCUCUGGAGGCUGAUUCUUUCUGGCAGGGCUCUCACCUUGGGGCCCCCAUCUUCUACACUGGCCUGGGGAGGUUGCUGUGUUCCUGAGAAGAAAGCACCAGAGGAACUGGCAAGAGAUUUUUUCCAUUGGUGACAUCGGGGGCAGUGAUGACUUCCUUUCUGGUACCACCGGACGUACUCGGACACUGGUGCUUGGAGGCGACCUCAUUAUGUAGUCUUUGGCUGGGCUAGAAUUCAUGGAGACCAAGCUGGCCUUAAACUGGAGAUAAUCUUCCUGCUUCUGCUACUGAGUGCUGGGAUUAAAGCACAGUGAAAACUGGCCCGAGGUAGAGAGAAAGGAUGACGGCAGUAGCGAUGAGCAUGAACAGCAGCAUCCAGGAAGGUGGUACUUCUUCCCGCAUCCCCUCCCCUUCCCCCCCCCCCCCGUUCGUGCUGGGUACACACUCUUGGUUUUACAGGCCACACCCAGCUCAUUUGCACUUCUUAGGUGCACUGGGCAGUAUUUUUCAGCCCCACUGAAAUAAACUGGGUAGCUUUUGAAACUCCACAAUCUGAACUCCAGAACAUUCAACUUUCUGGGAGGAGGGCCUAGGUAGAAGCAUUGCCUAGGAGUCCUUGGGUGGUUUUUCAGAUGCAUAGCCAGGGGUGAGCAUCACUGCUUGUGGAGAGAUGGUCCGGGGCUAGCAUUAUUUGAUUAUGAUCACAGGGUUUCUCCUGUGGUGCUGGGGACAGAAUCUGGAGCCUUUUAUAUUCAAGGCAAGUACUCGACCACUGAGAUGCACCCUGUACUCCUGGGUGUGGUUUUUUGUGAGUGAAGGACUCAUUUGGUUACCCAGGCUGGACUUGCCCUCAUCACCCUGCCUCUGCCUUCAGAGUGCUGCGAUUACAGAUUUGUGCCAUCAUGCCCAGACUGACGUCACAGGGACCAGGUGAAAACGGCAUCUCUAAGAAGCGCUCCUACUGAUCCCAUCGGUUAGGAAGCAGCCGGAUAGUCUGACCUACAGCUACCUGGCCAUAUUACCAAAACUGGCAGUUGGUGUUGACUGGACCCUGUCUAAUUCUCUUAAGGUGCUGGGUCAGCUUUUAGUUCUGGGAAUCUGUAGGGGGCAAAGUCAGGGUGAGGAGAUCCAUGGGGCUAAACAGGCAGUUCCCCCGCCCUGUCUCUAGCUUAGUGGCUGGUUAAGCAGGACCCGUCCCCCACCAGUCACACCACUCACUGCAGCCCCAUCCCAGCAAAUGGUUGCACAGGACAGAGUCAAGAGCAGCCCGAAAGUGAGACAGCCAUUUAGACAGAGCGCAUCAGUGUUGCUUUGCGAAUCUCCCAGCACAGUUUUCCCUCCCUUGGCAAAUGAGCUCUACUUCCUGUCUCUCUUCCUCAAGAUGACUCUAGGGGCGGUGGAUGAAGCCAGAUCCGGGGAGCAUGGUCACGCGAGACAGAGCUACCCUCACUGCUCUCACCGACCUUUUCCACCACAGCAGGGCCCAUGCUAGUCAAGGCCUCCUCCGGUCCCUUCAGAUUACUGACGUCUUGCUUCCAUCAGGGCCCUGCAGGGGUUCCUGAUAGGACUGGCCCUGUUCCUUUCCAGCCACUGGAGUGGGAAGCAAAAAUGCCACACGACCCCAACCCGGAGACUGUGAUUGCGCUGUCAACUUGACAGAACCUAGAAUCACCCAGGAGAUGUGCCUCUGGGCAUUAACUGAAAGGAGGAGACCCAGCUUUAACUGUGGAUGGCACCAUUCCUCGGGCAGGGGAUCCUGGACCCUAGAGACGCAGAAAGGAGAACUGAGCAGCAGCAAGUAGCCACUGUCUUCUGCUUCUUGUCUGCGGAGACAAUGAGACUCGCUGCUUCCAAGUUCCUGCCGCCUUUGACGAGCUGUACCUUGAACUGUGAACCGGUCUAUACUCCUGCUCCCCGCCCCCUUAAGUCGCUUCUGUCAGGGUUCCUUGUCGCAGCAAUGGAGAACAAAACGAAGAGAGAUGCAAGUAUCCCCUACCACUACUCUCAAGGACAUCCUGGGCCUCCUGUGGCUCUUUCUUUUUUUCCCCCGUGUGCCCUUUCUGUGCCCUUCUCUUGUUACACUACCAUUAAAGCACAUGCGCUCGGAUUCUCA